GAUGAACGCUGGCGGCGUGCCUAAUACAUGCAAGUCGAGCGAACAGACGAGGAGCUUGCUCCUCUGACGUUAGCGGCGGACGGGUGAGUAACACGUGGAUAAUCUACCUAUAAGACUGGGAUAACUUCGGGAAACCGGAGCUAAUACCGGAUAAUAUAUUGAACCGCAUGGUUCAAUAGUGAAAGACGGUUUUGCUGUCACUUAUAGAUGGAUCCGCGCCGCAUUAGCUAGUUGGUAAGGUAACGGCUUACCAAGGCAACGAUGCGUGGCCGACCUGAGAGGGUGAUCGGCCAAACUGGAACUGAGACACGGUCCAGACUCCUACGGGAGGCAGCAGUAGGGAAUCUUCCGCAAUGGGCGAAAGCCUGACGGAGCAACGCCGCGUGAGUGAUGAAGGUCUUCGGAUCGUAAAACUCUGUUAUUAGGGAAGAACAAAUGUGUAAGUAACUAUGCACGUCUUGACGGUACCUAAUCAGAAAGCCAUGGCUAACUACGUGCCAGCCGCCGCCGUAAGAC
rnacentral:rRNA from 1 species